rnacentral:tRNA from 1 species
GCCUGAGUGGCGGAAUCGGUAGACGCAGCGGACUCAAAAUCCGCCGGGGCAACCCCCCAUGGGAGUUCGAGUCUCCCCUUAGGCACCA